UACGGAGGGUGCAAGCGUUAUCCGGAUUCACUGGGUUUAAAGGGUGCGUAGGUGGGCUAGUAAGUCCGUGGUGAAAUCUCUGAGCUUAACUCGGAAACUGCCGUGGAUACUAUUAGUCUUGAAUAUUGUGGAGGUAAGCGGAAUAUGUCAUGUAGCGGUGAAAUGCUUAGAUAUGACUUAGAACACCGAUAGCGAAGGCAGCUUGCUACACAAUUAUUGACACUGAGGCACGAAAGCGUGGGGAUCAAACAGG
rnacentral:rRNA from 1 species